UUGUGGUCAAGCUACAAAGGGCUAAUGGUGGAUACCUAGGCACACAGCGGCGAUGAAGGACGCGGUUACCGGCGAUAUGCCACGGGGAGUUGGAAGCAAGCUUUGAUCCGUGGGUUUCCGAAUGGGGCAACCCUUAAUACUACUGCCUGAAUCCAUAGGGCAGAAAGAGCUAACCCAGCGAAUUGAAACAUCUUAGUAGCUGGAGGAAAAGAAAACAAACGUGAUUCCCUUAGUAGCGGCGAGCGAAGGGGGAACAGCCUAAACCAGAGAGCAUGCUUUCUGGGGUCGUGGGACAGCGACAUGGACUCUAGCGGCUAGACGAAGCACUUGAAAGGUGCACCAGAGAAGGUGAAAGUCCUGUAGUCGAAAGCUUAAAGAUACUAGCUGCAUCCCGAGUAGCCUGGAGCACGUGGAAUUCCGGGUGAAUCAGCGAGGACCACCUCGUAAGGCUAAAUACGUCUGUGUGACCGAUAGUGAACCAGUACCGCGAGGGAAAGGUGAAAAGAACCCCGGGAGGGGAGUGAAAUAGAACAUGAAACCAUUAGCUUACAAGCAAUCGGAGCCCGAUUAGAACGGGUGACGGUGUGCCUGUUGAAGAAUGAGCCGGCGACUUAUAGGCACUGGCAGAUUAAGACGGGAAUGUCGAAGUCAAAGCGAAAGCGAGUCUGAAUAGGGCGUUAGUCAGUGUUUAUAGACCCGAACCCCGGUGAUCUAACCAUGGCCAGGAUGAAGCUUGGGUAACACCACGUGGAGGUCCGAACCGACCGAUGUUGAAAAAUCGGCGGAUGAGCUGUGGUUAGGGGUGAAAUGCCAAUCGAACCGGGAGCUAGCUGGUUCUCCCCGAAAUGUGUUUAGGCGCAGCGGUAAUGAUUAUAGCGAGGGGGUAAAGCACUGAUUCGGUGCGGGCUGGGAGACCGGUACCAAAUCGAGUCAAACUCUGAAUACCUCGUGCACACAUUGCCAGUGAGACGGUGGGGGAUAAGCUUCAUCGUCAAGAGGGAAACAGCCCAGACCACCAGCUAAGGUCCCCAAAUCACGGUUCAGUGAUAAAGGAGGUGGGAAUGCAGAGACAACCAGGAGGUUUGCCUAGAAGCAGCCAUCCUUAAAAGAGUGCGUAAUAGCUCACUGGUCAAGCGUUCCUGCGCCGAAAAUGAACGGGGCUAAACCGUGUACCGAAGCUGUGGGAUUUGUCUAUCGAUAAAUCGGUAGGGGAGCGUUCUGUUGUAGUGUGAAGCCGUAGCGGCAAGCAGCGGUGGACGAAGCAGAAGUGAGAAUGUCGGCUUGAGUAGCGCAAACAUUGGUGAGAAUCCAAUGCCCUGAAAUCCUAAGGGUUCCUCCGGAAGGCUCGUCCGCGGAGGGUUAGUCGGGUCCUAAGGCGAGGCGGAAACGCGUAGUCGAUGGAUAACUGGUUAAUAUUCCAGUACUCGAUUUUGGAUUGUGCAGAGGGACGGAGUAGGCUAACGCAUCCGGAUGUUGGUUACCGGUUCAAGCGUUCGAGGCUUUGAGGAACGGCGAAAACGUUCCGAGCUGAGACGUGAGUACGAGGCACUACGGUGCCGAAGUGUGUGAUGUCAGGCUUCCAAGAAAAGCUCUAAACACGUUAAUCCAAAGUCACCCGUACCCUAAACCGACACAGGUGGGAUGGUUGAGAAUACUAAAGGGCGCGAGAUAACUCUCUCUAAGGAACUCGGCAAAAUGGCCCCGUAACUUCGGGAGAAGGGGUGCCCACGCAAGUGGGUCGCAGUGAAGAGUCCCAGGCGACUGUUUACCAAAAACACAGGUCUCCGCUAAGUCGCAAGACGAUGUAUGGGGGCUGACGCCUGCCCAGUGCCGGAAGGUUAAGGAAGUCGGUCA
rnacentral:rRNA from 1 species